rnacentral:misc_RNA from 1 species
UUGUAUUGCCCAGCAGAUUUACAAACGUCCCUUGAGCCGCUCAUCCAAAUACAAGACUCAAAUCUCCCAUUUUGUUGUUUCAAGUGUGUAUUUAAAAUAUUUAAAAGAAACCUUAAAUUUCAUAUCCAGAGUUAGCAGUGCCACAAUAUAAAAAACCAAUCCCACUAAUUCAUAACAAAUAUUAAAUAACAUAAAUACUAAAAAAAAAAA